rnacentral:rRNA from 1 species
AACGAACGCUGGCGGCAGGCCUAACACAUGCAAGUCGAGCGAAGCCUUCGGGCUUAGCGGCGGACGGGUGAGUAACGCGUGGGAACGUGCCCUUUGCUACAGAAUAGCCCCGGGAAACUGGGAGUAAUACCGUAUGUGCCCUUCGGGGGAAAGAUUUAUCGGCAAAGGAUCGGCCCGCGUUGGAUUAGGUAGUUGGUGGGGUAAUGGCCUACCAAGCCGACGAUCCAUAGCUGGUUUGAGAGGAUGAUCAGCCACACUGGGACUGAGACACGGCCCAGACUCCUACGGGAGGCAGCAGUGGGGAAUCUUAGACAAUGGGCGCAAGCCUGAUCUAGCCAUGCCGCGUGAUCGAUGAAGGCCUUAGGGUUGUAAAGAUCUUUCAGGUGGGAAGAUAAUGACUGUACCACCAGAAGAAGCCCCGGCUAACUCCGUGCCAGCAGCCGCAGUAAUAC